UGAGUAACCUGCCCUUAACUCUGGGAUAAGCCUGGGAAACUGGGUCUAAUACCGGAUAUGACUCCUCAUCGCAUGGUGGGGGGUGGAAAGCUUUAUUGUGGUUUUGGAUGGACUCGCGGCCUAUCAGCUUGUUGGUGAGGUAAUGGCUCACCAAGGCGACGACGGGUAGCCGGCCUGAGAGGGUGACCGGCCACACUAGGACUGAGACACGGCCCAGACUCCGUACGGGAGCAG
rnacentral:rRNA from 1 species